rnacentral:lncRNA from 1 species
CUGAGUCUAGGGCAUGCAUGUAUACAUCGAUCUCAUACCCUGCAGUCCUGCACACAUGCAACAGACAAGGACUCAACACAGAAUAUUAUACAUACUUAAACCAAGAAAUGAGACUGCAAUAAGCGAAUCUGAAUCAUUCAAACCUGACAAAAAUACAGCUUCUAGCCAAGUAGCCUGAUAGUCCGGAUGGACAACAACAUGAUUGUGAUAGCUGUCAUUGUUGCCCAUAAGCAACCAAGUGAUGUGGCGGUAAGUGCCCACGAGCCGAAGCUCAAGCACAGGAAUCGCUCGUACAGGCAUACUAAUAAGAAACCGUCCAUUUACAGCAACGUUAACAAAAAUUCUUGGGUCUCCAAAAGAUGCCUUGCCUACUGAAAGAGCACGAAGACCAAAAGGGAACCACUCAUGAG